CCCCUAGAUGUUCUGGGCCGCACGCGCGCUACACUGAACAGUUCAACAAGUCUUAACCUUGGCCGAUAGGUCUGGGUAAUCUUUGAACGCUGUUCGUGAUUGGGAUAGACCUUUGCGAUUAUGGGUCUUCAACGAGGAAUUCCUAGUAAACGCAAGUCAUCAGCUUGCAUUGAUUACGUCCCUGCCCUUUGUACACACCGCCCGUCGCACCUACCGAUUGAAUGGUCCGGUGAAGCGUUCGGACCGUGGCCUUUGGACGGUUCGCCGUCUGUUGGCUGCGGGAAGUUCGUUAAACCUUAUCAUUUAGAGGAAGGAGAAGUCGUAACA
rnacentral:rRNA from 1 species